rnacentral:misc_RNA from 1 species
CCGGCGACAAGCGGCCCUCGG